GACGAACGCUGGCGGCGUGCUUAACACAUGCAAGUCGAACGGAAAGGCCUGCUUUCCCUUGUGGAUUGCGGGUACUCGAGUGGCGAACGGGUGAGUAACACGUGAGUGAUCUGCCCCCAACUUGGGUAUAAGCCUGGGAAACUGGGUCUAAUUCCCGAUAGGACUGCAGGGUGGUGCCUGUGGUGGAAAACGAUUUUCUAGUGGUUGGGGAUGAGCUCGCGGCCUAUCAGCUUGUUUGUGGGGUAAUGGCCUACCAAGGCGGCGACGGGUAGCCGGCCUGAGAGGGUGGACGGCCACAUUGGGACUGAGACACGGCCCAGACUCCUACGGGAGGCAGCAGUGGGGAAUAUUGCACAAUGGGCGGAAGCCUGAUGCAGCGACGCCGCGUGGGGGAUGACGGCCUUCGGGUUGUAAACUCCUUUCGACCGCGAGGAAGCCACCUGGUUGGAAGGGUGGUGACGGUAGUGGUAGAAGAAGCACCGGCUAACUACGUG
rnacentral:rRNA from 1 species